rnacentral:rRNA from 1 species
UGGGGAAUAUUGCACAAUGGGCGCAAGCCUGAUGCAGCCAUGCCGCGUGUAUGAAGAAGGCCUUCGGGUUGUAAAGUACUUUCAGCGGGGAGGAAGGGAGUAAAGUUAAUACCUUUGCUCAUUGACGUUACCCGUAGAAGAAGCACCGGCUAACUCCGUGCCCGCAGCCGCGGCAAUACGGAGGGUGCAAGCGUUAAUCGGAAUUACUGGGCGUAAAGCGCACGCAGGCGGUUUGUUAAGUCAGAUGUGAAAUCCUCGGGCUCAACCUGGGAGUUGCAACUGAUACUGGCAAGCUUGAAUCUCGUAGAGGGGGGUAGAAUUCCAGGUGUAGCGGUGAAAUGCGUAGAGAUCUGGAAGAAUACCGGUGGCGAAGGCGGCCCCCUGGACGAAGACUGACGCUCAGGUGCGAAAGCGUGGGGAGCAAACAGG